rnacentral:lncRNA from 1 species
CAGCCUCUGAGAAAAGAGACACCAGUGGGAAAUUUUGCUUUGAUGCCAGCUCGCCAGCUAGCUCUGGCACCAGGGAUGAGGAGGAGGAAGGACUGCCGGCUCUCGCGAUGCUCCCCUGCAUGUGCACACUUGCAGAGCUGAGCUCAGCCGGAGAUCCUGGGAGAGGGUUGCAGCAACUGCAGAGCAAGUCACCAGCUGUGCCCUGCCUGACUGGCCAACACAUGGCUGGCACAGCCGGAGCCAGCAGUGGCAGCCAGCCACCCGCCAUCGGACGAGAGAGACCGCGGAGAAGAGCUGGCACUGCAAGGACGCUCUGGAAGGACCGUGUCGUACAACCAUCCAUCGUCCCAAGAUGUCGGUCUUCAGUCCAGGAACUCCAGAGCUUCUUGGAAACCUUUACUUGCCUACAACAAGGCCCAUCACAGUUCAGCUGGGCAAGUAUGUAA